UUUUUCAGAAUCAGAAUUCUUUUAUUGUCAUUGUACCAAAGGGCGCAACGAUGACAAUAAAAGAAUUCUGAUUCUGAAAAA